AGCUGAUCACUGGGCGUAAAGUGUGCGCAGGCGGUUUUGUAAGACAGAGGUGAAAUCCCCGGGCUCAACCUGGGAACUGCCUUUGUGACUGCAAGGCUGGAGUGCGGCAGAGGGGGAUGGAAUUCCGCGUGUAGCAGUGAAAUGCGUAGAUAUGCGGAGGAACACCGAUGGCGAAGGCAAUCCCCUGGGCCUGCACUGACGCUCAUGCACGAAAGCGUGGGGAGCAAACA
rnacentral:rRNA from 1 species